UACGUAGGGUGCGAGCGUUGUCCGGAAUUAUUGGGCGUAAAGAGCUCGUAGGCGGUCUGUCGCGUCGAAUGUGAAAACCCGGGGCUCAACCCCGGGCCUGCAUUCGAUACGGGCAGACUAGAGUUCGGUAGGGGAGUCUGGAAUUCCUGGUGUAGCGGUGAAAUGCGCAGAUAUCAGGAGGAACACCGGUGGCGAAGGCGGGACUCUGGGCAUUAACUGACGCUGAGGAGCGAAAGCAUGGGGAGCGAACAGG
rnacentral:rRNA from 1 species